rnacentral:rRNA from 1 species
AGAGUUUGAUCCUGGCUCAGGACGAACGCUGGCGGCGUGCCUAAUACAUGCAAGUAGAACGCUGAAGAGAGGAGCUUGCUCUUCUUCUUGGAUGAGUUGCGAACGGGUGAGUAACGCGUAGGUAACCUGCCUUGUAGCGGGGGAUAACUAUUGGAAACGAUAGCUAAUACCGCAUAACAAUGGAUGACACAUGUCAUUUAUUUGAAAGGGGCAAUUGCUCCACUACAAGAUGGACCUGCGUUGUAUUAGCUAGUAGGUGAGGUAACGGCUCACCUAGGCGACGAUACAUAGCCGACCUGAGAGGGUGAUCGGCCACACUGGGACUGAGACACGGCCCAGACUCCUACGGGAGGCAGCAGUAGGGAAUCUUCGGCAAUGGGGGCAACCCUGACCGAGCAACGCCGCGUGAGUGAAGAAGGUUUUCGGAUCGUAAAGCUCUGUUGUAAGUCAAGAACGAGUGUGAGAGUGGAAAGUUCACACUGUGACGGUAGCUUACCAAAAAGGGACGGCUAACUACGUGCCAGCAGCCGCGGU